rnacentral:rRNA from 1 species
AUUGAACGCUGGCGGAAUGCUUUACACAUGCAAGUCGAACGGUAGAGGGGGCAACCCCUCGAGAGUGGCGAACGGGUGAGUAAUAUAUCGGAACGUGCCCAGUCGUGGGGGAUAACGUAGCGAAAGUUACGCUAAUACCGCAUACGAUCUAUGGAUGAAAGCGGGGGAUCGCAAGACCUCGCGCGAUUGGAGCGGCCGAUAUCAGAUUAGGUAGUUGGUGGGGUAAAGGCUCACCAAGCCAACGAUCUGUAGCUGGUCUGAGAGGACGACCAGCCACACUGGAACUGAGACACGGUCCAGACUCCUACGGGAGGCAGCAGUGGGGAAUUUUGGACAAUGGACGCAAGUCUGAUCCAGCCAUUCCGCGUGCAGGAUGAAGGCCCUCGGGUUGUAAACUGCUUUUGUACGGAACGAAAAGGUUUCUCUUAAUACGAGGAGCUCAUGACGGUACCGUAAGAAUAAGCACCGGCUAACUACGUG